rnacentral:lncRNA from 1 species
UGGUGUUGGCGAUUUUUGUGGCUGACUCGGAAUCACUGGGCGUGGUGUACCCUCGCUAUCGCCCUGAGAAGGCAAUUCUGCUGCUGGUGUGGGGUCAUGAACGCCUUGAUGUUCCGGUGGAGAUGCUGCGGUUUCUCUCACACGGUUCCGAGUCCUCUUGGUUGGAUUCGACGAGGACCCACCGUCCAGACCACUGUCUCGCUUCCUCUUCUUCUCUGUGGUUUCACUCCUCUUCGCCGCUUCUCUCUUUUUCUUAAUGGCGGCUCUCCUUUUCGCUGCCGCUCCUUUUCUUCUUUUCACAUCGGCUUUCUUCUUCUUCUCCGACGCUUCCGUUUUUUCUUUCAUCUUGGCGAGCGAGUUUUUGGCGACAUUGCACACACGAAAUUGGAUACGAAAUUGGAGAUGGGGAUUGUUGUUUAGAGAUGAUUGUGCUUGAAUCUAAGUUUGAUUAGAGAUGGGAGUUUAAAAUCGU